rnacentral:rRNA from 1 species
GACGAACGCUGGCGGCGUGCUUAACACAUGCAAGUCGAACGGACAGGCCCUGCUCUUGUUGCUUUCUCGAGUGGCGAACGGGUGUGUAACACGUGAGUAACCUCCCCUUAACUUUCUGAUAACUUCAGGAAACUGCGGCUAAUACCGGAUAUGAUCUCCUGCUGCAUGUUGGUGGUUGGAAAGUUUCGGCUGUUGGGGCUGUACUCGCGGCUUAUCAGCUUGUUUGUGUAGUAGUGGCUUACCAAGGCUUUGACGGGUAGCCGGCCUGAGAGGGUGACCGGGGACAAUGGGACUGAGAGACGGACCAGAAGCGUACGGGACGCAGCAGGGGGAAGUAUUGCGGAAUGGGGCGAAGUCUGAGGUGAAGGUGCCGGGAGCGGGAUAACGGGCUACGAGGGAUGAACAAAUGUGGAAGGUAAUGAAGAGUGAGUGACGGUAAUGGGUCAAGAAGCAACGGCUAACUACGUG